GAUGAAGAACGCAGCGAAAUGCGAUAAUUAAUGUGAAUUGCAGAAUUCCGUGAAUCAUCGAGUCUUUGAACGCACAUUGCGCCUCAUGGAAUUCCGUGAGGCAUGCCCAUCUCAGCGUUAGAAAAUAUUCUCAAAUUUUAGUUUUGUGCUAAAAUUUGGAUCAUGUCAAGGAAGCUAUUACUAUUAUUGUGAUCGCUCUUUGGAAAUUGAUAGGUCUUUGAGUUGCUACUCAUAGAACGUGAUGAAUCUUUCUUCGUUCUAUUGUAAUUCACUCUGGUAGUCCUAAAACUUGUAUGCCUGUGGCAUAUCUUGUAAUUUGACCUGAGAUUGGGUAGGGAUACCCGCUGAACUUAAGCAUAUCAAUAAGCGGAGGA
rnacentral:misc_RNA from 1 species